AGCAGCCGCGGUAAUUCCAGCUCCAAUAGCGUAUAUUAAAGUUGUUGCAGUUAAAAAGCUCGUAGUUGAAUUUCGGGGUUAGUAGAUUGGUCAUGCCUCUGGUAUGCACUGGUCUUACUGAUUCCUCCUUCCUGAUGAACCGUAAUGCCAUUAAUUUGGUGUUGCGGGGAAACUGGACUGUUACUUUGAAAAAUUAGAGUGUUUAAAGCAGGCUAACGCUUGAAUACAUUAGCAUGGAAUAAUGAAAUAGGACGUUCGAUCUUAUUUUGUUGGUUUUUAGGAUUGACGUAAUGAUUAAUAGGGAUAGUUGGGGGCAUUAGUAUUCAAUUGUCAGAGGUGAAAUUCUUGGAUUUAUUGAAGACUAACUACUGCGAAAGCAUUUUUGCCAAGGAUGUUUUCAUUAAUCAAGAACGAAAGUUAGGGGAUCGAAGACGAUCAGAUACCGUCGUAGUCUUAACCAUAAACUAUGCCGAACUAGGGAUCGGAUGAUGUUAAUUUUUAAUG
rnacentral:rRNA from 1 species